rnacentral:rRNA from 1 species
AACCUUCCACAAUGGGCGAAAGCCUGAUGGAGCAACGCCGCGUGAGGGAAGAAGGUUUUCGGAUCGUAAAACUCGGUUGUAAGGGAAGAACAAGUACAGUAGUAACUGGCUGUACCUUGACGGUACCUUAUGAGAAAGCCACGGCUAACUACGUCCCAUCAACCGCGGUAAUACGUAGGUGGCAAGCGUUGUCCGGAAUUAUUGGGCGUAAAGCGCGCGCAGGCGGUCCUUUAAGGCUGAUGUGAAAGCCCACGGCUCAACCGUGGAGGGUCAUUGGAAACUGGGGGACUUGAGUGCAGAAGAGGAAAGUGGAAUUCCAAGUGUAGCGGUGAAAUGCGUAGAGAUUUGGAGGAAUACCAGUGGCGAAGGCGACUUUCUGGUCUGUAACUGACGCUGAGGCGCGAAAGCGUGGGGAGCAAACA